GAGGAGGACUCCAAAGCCUCUGAGAUUGGCAGCAUUGAAAAAUGGGAGAAAACAGUUCCUGAGUCCUUGCCUGGAAGAAAGCCAACUACUGACUGGGACCAUUCUCGCUGGAUUAUGAUGUUUGGCACAUGGGCAUCUAAGGAGAUGACAUGUACAAACAGGAGAUACAAAUAGGAGAUGACACUUUCACCUCAACCACUACAGCCCCAGAAGGAACCCAAGGUGGCCCCCUGGACCUUUUCCUGAAGCAACAUUGGGAGAAGCAAGCUGUCUUCAGAGAGAUAUAAGUAUAGCUUUUAUUUUUUUUUUUUUAAAACCAACCCAACAUUUCCACUGGCAACUGUCAACAUAGCUUAUGACAUGAACACGGUUUCUUUUCCAGUUAUUUGUUUUCUUAAAAAAUGUGUUUAAAAUUAAACAGGUGUUUUUCAUUUCUUCUUUUCCC